rnacentral:rRNA from 1 species
UACGAAGGGGGCUAGCGUUGUUCGGAGUUACUGGGCGUAAAGGGCGCGUAGGCGGCGCACCAAGUCAGGCGUGAAAGCCCUGGGCUCAACCCGGGAAUUGCGCUUGAGACUGGUGUGCUUGAGUACGGGAGAGGAUAGUGGAAUUCCCAGUGUAGAGGUGAAAUUCGUAGAUAUUGGGAAAGAACACCGGUGGCGAAGGCGGCUAAUCGUGGGACCCGUA